UUAGUUUAAUGAGAUCCCAUUUGUCAAUUUUGGCUUUUGUUGCCAUUGCUUUUGAUGUUUUAGUUAUGAAGUCUUUGCCCAUGCCUGUCCUGAAUGGUAUUGCUUAGGUUUUCUUCUAGGGUUUUUAUGGUUUUAGGUCUUACAUUUAAGUUUUUAAUCCAUCUUGAGUUAAUUUUUGUAUAAGGUGUAAGGAAGGGAUCCAGUUUCAGCUUUGUACAUGUGGCUAGCCAGUUUUCCCAACACCAUUUAUUAAAUAGGGAAUCCUUUCCCCAUUUCUUGCUUUUGUCAGGUUUGUCAAAGAUCAGAUGGUUGUAGAUGUGUGGUGUUAUUUCUGAGGCCUCUGUUCUGUUCCAUUGGUCUAUAUAUCUGUUUUGGUACCAGUACCAUGCUGUUUUGGUUACUGUAGCCUUGUAGUAUAGUUUGAAGUCAGGUAGCAUGAUGCCUCCAGCUUUGUUCUUUUGGCUUAGGAUUGUAUUGGCUAUGCAGGCUCUUUUUGGUUCCAUAUGAACUUUAAAGUAGUUUUUUCCAAUUCUGUGAAGAAAGU
rnacentral:lncRNA from 10 species